rnacentral:lncRNA from 1 species
GUUGAAUUGUGCCCCCCUCACCCAAAAGAUAUAUUGAUGUUUUAACCACCUCACCUGUGAAUUUGACUUCAUUUGGUGAUAGGGUCUUGAAAGAUGUAAUCCAGUUAAAAGGAGGCCAUUAGCAUGGACCCUAAUUCAAUAAGAUUUGUGUCCUCAUAAGAAAAGGAAAAGAGACACAGAGACACAGACACACAUGAUGAUGACCAUGUGAUAAUGGAGACAGAGAUGGGAGUGAUGCAUCCACAAGUCAUGCCAAGGUUACUCCAUCCUGGGAGGCUAAGAAAAAUGCACGAAACAAAUUGUCUUCUAACACCUCUGGAGGGAGCGCAAACCUGAAGACAACUUUGGGUAACGAUUCUUGCAGCAGAGGAAUAGAAAUUUGAUAUCAGAGACUGGAAAGAUGGAGACUUGAACCAAGCAAUGGCAAAUUGGUUGGUGUGGCCCAGAGGAGCCAGGAGGAGAAAGAGUUGUCCAGAAGGCAGAACCCAGACCCUUGAGAAUAGCAGAGGAUGGAAUUCCACCCAGGAAAUAAAAAGAUGCCUUAAUCAAAGGUAAUUUUCUUCCUCAAGCUGGGUGGUCUUCACAUCUUCUAGUGGGCUCUCAGUCCUCCAAAGCCAUGGCAGCCGUGUUUCUCCCACCCCUCCCCUUCCGAUGGUCCUUUGUACUUUGGUUAUCCUGUCUUUCUUUCACCAUUGUGUAUGGAGUAUGUUGGGACAGGGAGCAGACAAUUUGUGUUUUCAGUCUAUCUUUUGCCAAAACAAAAGGAGCCCAUCUGGGCCUGAUGGAAAGGACUGAGCAUGCUGCUGACUGGAUGGAAAGUUGGGUUGUUGCCUUGCGGAGGGAAUUUGUGUGUUCUGUGAGUGGCAGCAAGAGUGAAAUUGUGGCCAGAGGGAAAGAUUGGGGUAGGGACUAGAUUGCUGCUUCCAUUCUCAGGCUUCCCUAGGCACAAACGGUGAUGACAUUUCUAAGCCUCCUUUACAUUGAGGUUGGAG